rnacentral:rRNA from 1 species
UGCCAGCCGCCGCGGUAAUACGGGAGUGGCAAGCGUUAUCCGGAAUUAUUGGGUUUAAAGGGUGCGUAGGCGGCUUGAUAAGUCAGAGGUGAAAUCCCGCAGCUUAACUGCGGAACUGCCUUUGAUACUGUCUAGCUUGAAUUGGGUUGAGGUUAGCGGAAUGUGGCAUGUAGCGGUGAAAUGCAUAGAUAUGCCAUAGAACACCGAUUGCGAAGGCAGCUAACUGGACCUUGAUUGACGCUGAGGCACGAAAGCGUGGGGAGCGAACAGGAUUAGAUA